AGAACAACAACAGAUGGCCACCGGCGAUUCUGCAACUUAUGCCCAGCCAACUCUGGACACAAAUUGCAUCAUGCCAUGAGUUCUCAUUAACAUCGACAUCUAGCGGCUGAGAUGAGAACUACAGGUGGCACACCUUGAAGACACCACGCCAGGCGAGACGCAACAUCAAACAAAAGUCAUUAAAGGGCAGAAAAGUUCCCAAGCAGCUUGAAGAUGAAUUACCCAUGGAAAUCUAAAGCGGCAGUCUACUUUUGUACGCCUCGUAAAUUACCCGGUGUGUUUGGGACGGGGCGGGGAGGACGUUGGUGAGCGUUGCAUCGAA